rnacentral:rRNA from 1 species
GUUAAGCUGCGAUAAGCUUUGGGUAGGCGCAAAUAGCCAGUGAUCCAAAGAUUUCCGAAUGGGGGAACCCACAUAGUAACAACUAUGUACUGCAUACUGAAUAAAUAGGUAUGCAGAGGUAGACCCGGGGAACUGAAACAUCUAAGUACCCGGAGGAAGAGAAAGAAACAUCGAUUUCCUAAGUAGCGGCGAGCGAAAGGGAAAGAGCCCAAACCUAGGUCUUUGACCUAGGGGUUGAGGAUAGAUCAUAAAUACUGCAAUUCCUUAAUUGAAGAUAGCUGGAAAGCUGCUCCGCAGAAGGUAAUAGGCCUGUAAAUGAAAAGGAAAAACAGUCAGAUCUAAUCCAGAGUACCACGAGACACGUGAAACCUUGUGGGAAGCAGGGAGGACCACCUCCCAAGGCUAAAUACUACCUAGUGACCGAUAGUGAAGAAGUACCGUGAGGGAAAGGUGAAAAGAACCCCGGAAGGGGAGUGAAAUAGAACCUGAAACCGUGUGCCUACAACCGGUCGGAGCACUUUUUAUGUGUGACGGCGUGCUUUUUGUAGAACGAGCCAACGAGUUACGAUAUGUAGCAAGGUUAAGUACUUAAGGUACGGAGCCGAAGGGAAACCAAGUCUGAAUAGGGCGAAGGGAAACCAAGUCUGAAUAGGGCGCUAUAGUUGCAUGUCGUAGACCCGAAACCGGGUGACCUAUCCAUGGCCAGGAUGAAGCGGAAGUAAAAUUCCGUGGAGGUCCGAACCACGUUGGUGUUGAAAAACCAUGGGAUGAGCUGUGGAUAGCGGAGAAAUUCCAAUCGAACUCGGAGAUAGCUGGUUCUCCUCGAAAUAGCUUUAGGGCUAGCGUCGAUUAAUUGAGUAAUGGAGGUAGAGCACUGAAUGGGCUAGGGGCUGACAACAGUUACUGAACCUAUCAAACUCCGAAUGCCAUAUACUUUUAUUUCGGCAGUCAGACUGCGAAUGAUAAGAUCCGUAGUCAAAAGGGAAACAGCCCAGACCAUCAGCUAAGGUCCCAAAGUGUAAGUUAAGUGGAAAAGGAUGUGGGAUUUCUAAGACAACUAGGAUGUUGGCUCAGAAGCAGCCACUCAUUCAAAGAGUGCGUAAUAGCUCACUAGUCAAGAGAUCCUGCGCCGAAGAUGUCCGGGGCUAAAACUUACCACCGAAGCUAUGGGUGUACACUAUGUGUACGCGGUAGAGGAGCUUUCUGUACUGGCUGAAGUCAUACCGUAAGGAGUGGUGGACGGUACAGAAGUGAGAAUGUUGGCAUAAGUAGCGAGAGUUAAGUGAGAAUCUUAACGGUCGAAAACCUAAGGUUUCCUGAGGAAGGCUCGUCCUCUCAGGGUUAGUCGGGACCUAAGCCGAGGCCGAAAGGCGUAGGUGAUGGACAAUCGGUUGAUAUUCCGAUACCACCAAUGGACGUUAUUAGAAAUGGGAUGACGCAGGAGGAUAAGAUGUGCACACUAUUGGAUGUGUGUCUAAGCAUUUAGGCGGAGCAAGCAGGCAAAUCCGUUUGCUCCAUCGGAAGAAUUGCUGUUAAGGAACUCGGCAAAUUGACCCCGUAACUUCGGGAGAAGGGGUGCCUACGMAAGUAGGUCGCAGAGAAUAGGCCCAAGCAACUGUUUAGCAAAAACACAGGUCUCUGCUAAAGYGAAAGCUGAUGUAUAGGGGCUGACGCCUGCCCGGUGCUGGAAGGUUAAGGGGAUUACUUAGUCGGGAAUUCGUUCCCGCCGAAGGUAUGAACUUAAGCCCCAGUAAACGGCGGCCGUAACUAUAACGGUCCUAAGGUAGCGAAAUUCCUUGUCGGGUAAGUUCCGACCCGCACGAAUGGCGUAAUGAUUUGGGCACUGUCUCAACAGCACAUCCGGCGAAAUUGUAGUGCCAGUGAAGAUGCUGGCUACCCGCGAUUGGACGGAAAGACCCCGUAGAGCUUUACUGUAGCUUAGCAUUGAAUUUCGGUAUUGUCUGUACAGGAUAGGUUGAGAAACAUGGGCGUCAGCCUGUGUGGAGUCAUCCUUGGGAUACCACCCUGACAGUACUGAGGUUCUAACUGGAGGCCAUGAAUCUGGUCACAGGACAUUGUUAGGUGGGCAGUUUGACUGGGGCGGUCGCCUCCAAAAAAGUAACGGAGGCGCUCAAAGGUUCCCUCAGCGCGGUUGGAAAUCGCGCGAAGAGUGCAAAGGCAGAAGGGAGCCUGACUGCGACACCUACAAGUGGAGCAGGGACGAAAGUCGGACUUAGUGAUCCGGUGGUACCUCGUGGGAGGGCCAUCGCUCAACGGAUAAAAGCUACCUCGGGGAUAACAGGCUGAUCUCCCCCAAGAGUCCACAUCGACGGGGAGGUUUGGCACCUCGAUGUCGGCUCGUCGCAUCCUGGGGCUGAAGUAGGUCCCAAGGGUUGGGCUGUUCGCCCAUUAAAGCGGCACGCGAGCUGGGUUCAGAACGUCGUGAGACAGUUCGGUCCCUAUCCGUCGCGGGCGUAGGAAAUUUGAAGGGAGCUGUCCUUAGUACGAGAGGACCGGGAUGGACAAACCUCUGGUGCACCAGUUGUCACGCCAGUGGCAUCGCUGGGUAGCUAUGUUUGGAAGGGAUAAACGCUGAAAGCAUCUAAGCGUGAAGCCCACCCU